rnacentral:rRNA from 1 species
GAAAGGCCUUUCGGUUUUUUAAAGCUCUUUCGGCAGAACGAAACCGGCGCGCUUUUAACAUAGCGUGUCAAUGACGGUACCUGAAGAAGAAGCACCGGCUAACUACGUGCCCAGCAGCCGCGGUAAUACUUAGGGUGCGAGCGUUAAUCGGAAAUUACUGGGCGUAAAGCGUGCGCAGGCGGUUCUAUAAGACCAGAUGUGAAAUCCCCGGGCUUAACCUGGGAACUGCGUUUGUGACUGUAGAACUCGAGUGUGGCAGAGGGGGGUGAAUUCCACGUGUAGCAGUGAAAUGCGUAGAGAUGUGGAGGAACACCGAUGGCGAAGGCAGCCCCCUGGGUCAACACUGACGCUCAUGCACGAAAGCGUGGGUAGCAAACAGGAUUAGAUACCCUGGUAGUCCACGCCCUAAACGAUGCCAACUAGGUGUUGGGGAAGGAGACUUCCUUAGUACCGUAGCUAACGCGUGAAGUUGGCCGCCUGGGGAGUACGGUCGCAAGAUUAAAACUCAAAGGAAUUGACCGGGGACCCGCACAAGCGGUGGAUGAUGUGGAUUAAUUCGAUGCAACGCGAAAAACCUUACCUACCCUUGACAUGUCAGGAAUCCUGCUGAGAGGUGGGAGUGCCCGAAAGGGACCUGAGACAGUGUAGAGGG